AUACGGAGGGUGCAAGCGUUACUCGGAAGCACUGGGCGUAAAGCGCGCGCAGGCAGCUAUUUAAGUUGGAUGUGAAAGCCUACGGCUCAACCGUAGAACUGCAUCCAAAACUAUUUAGCUAGAGUGUGGGAGAGGAAGAUGGAAUUAGUUGUGUAGGGGUAAAAUCCGUAGAGAUACCGAGGAAUACCAAAAGCGAAGGCAAUCUUCUGGAACACUACUGACGCUGAGGCGCGAAAGCGUGGGGAGCAAACAGGAUUAGAAACCCUAGUAGUCC
rnacentral:rRNA from 1 species